UUNGNUUGUGUUGGNUGGUUGGAUCCUUGCUCUGGCAACGACGUCCAUUCUCACAGGCAUCUUCAGUAAUGUCUCUAGAUACAUACUAUCUCGAGUUCUGUAUUGGUUUCUUGUGUUGUGUACCUUAUGCGAUGGCAAUCGGUAGUCAAAAUGUUACAUUUCGCCUUUCCUCGUCCCUUUUUGGGUUGAUGUAAGGUGAACCACGAAGUAAUCUCUGUGUCCCACUCUUCUCACAUUGAUUUGUGCUUGUGGAGUGGUGCAUAGGGCAUUUGCUUGAUCUCUUGGAUGCGGUGCAUUNUAUAUGGGCAUGAGGUCUCACGUCCUCUCUUUGCCCGAACAAAAGCUUUCAUCGCUUAGUUGCGAACGAUUGCAAUCCCCGUUUCGAGCCUUUUGGCAAGUACGGUGAUGGCUUCGUUGAGGAAUGCUACCUGGUUGAUCCUG
rnacentral:misc_RNA from 1 species